CGCAUUUUUAAGAAAUUACAACUACUGGGGGUAAGUCUCAAUGAGGGCCUUUUUCUCACACAGUUUAUACGGGUGCAUAAAAAACACUCUGUGCUCAGGGGAAGCGCUAGCGGUAUUUGAAUAGGGGGUGGGUGGGUGUAGGUGAAAUAUUGUCUACUAAUUUCAAACGCUAAUUAAUAUUCUUUUUCCCAAAAUUGUUGGCGAGCGAGCUGGGACGAGGGUUCACGGCUCAACAUCACAAAUUUUCCGGACAAUUGAAGGACAGUUAAAAGUUGAAGGUGCCAUUAACAGAACAAGGAUCUCAAUAGGAAUUAUUAUGUCCUUUCAAAAAGGACACAAACACAUCAACAUGCUGAUAUACAAAUAAGAACAUUGUCAAUAUUAACAUGGAAAGUGCAUGAAUUUAUAGCCC